rnacentral:rRNA from 1 species
UACGAAGGGGGCUAGCGUUGUUCGGAAUUACUGGGCGUAAAGCGCGCGCAGGCGGCUAUCCAAGUCAGUGGUGAAAGCCCGGAGCUCAACUCCGGAACUGCCAUUGAAGCUGUUUAGCUUGAGGACGAGAGAGGUGAGUGGAAUUCCCAGUGUAGAGGUGAAAUUCGUAGAUAUUGGGAAGAACACCGGUGGCGAAGGCGGCUCACUGGCUCGUAUCUGACGCUCAGGCGCGACAGCGUGGGGAUCAAACAGG